UUUUUGUCCAGGAUUGUAUGAGAUAAUUUCCAAAUUUGAAUGUUUUAGUUUUAGUGUAUGGGAUGUCUGAUUGAUAGGGUUUUUACUUAUACUGAAAAUAGUAUGAAAUGACUCUGAUAUAAAGUGAUUCUUUAUAUAUUUACACAACUUUCAUGUAUUUGACAUUUAUGUGCACACAGACAUUAUUAGCAAUGAUACAUCUUCGUCACCCUGACAAGCACACGCAA